rnacentral:sRNA from 1 species
GUUACCUAACCUAUAGUAUUCUAUAGUAUGGAACUAACAGAGGGCUGAGUAAUCAGCAGCAGUUAGAUAGGUGAAUCACACCUUGGGAUGUUCGGUCCAGUCCCUCGCUCUGUGGUUAAGUAUUAAGGGUAGCGGAAACGUGAAUGUGUGCUUAAUGUAAAAACCCUAUUUAACAAUCUCAAGGAUCACUUAACUUCUUUUUUAAGGAGAG